rnacentral:rRNA from 1 species
UACGUAGGGUGCGAGCGUUGUCCGGAAUUAUUGGGCGUAAAGAGCUUGUAGGCGGUUUGUCGCGUCUGCUGUGAAAUCUCAAGGCUCAACCUUGAGCUUGCAGUGGGUACGGGCAGACUAGAGUGUGGUAGGGGAGACUGGAAUUCCUGGUGUAGCGGUGAAAUGCGCAGAUAUCAGGAGGAACACCAAUUGCGAAGGCAGCUCGCUGGGACGUUACUGACGCUGAGACGCGAAAGCGUGGGGAGCAAACAGG